GAUUAAAUGGCUGAAGUUUAGGCAAUAAAUUGUAAAUUUAUGUAUAAGAAAUAUUCUUUUUAAUCA
rnacentral:tRNA from 1 species